AUCUCUGCAAUCGGCGAAAGCUUGACAGGGUUACUCUGAGUGAUUCCCGCUAAGGGGAUCUUUUGGCACCUCUAAAAAUGGUGCAGAAUAAGGGGUGGGCAAGUCUGGUGUCAGCCGCCGCGGUAAUACCAGCACCCCGAGUGGUCGGGACGAUUAUUGGGCCUAAAGCAUCCGUAGCCGGUACUGCAAGUCUUCCGUUAAAUCCACCUGCUCAACAGUUGGGCUGCGGGGGAUACUACAGCGCUAGGAGGCGGGAGAGGCAAGCGGUACUUAAUGGGUAGGGGUAAAAUCCACUGAUCCAUUGAAGACCACCAGUGGCGAAGGCGGCUUGCCAGAACGCGCUCGACGGUGAGGGAUGAAAGCUGGGGGAGCAAACCGGAUUAGAUACCCGGGUAGUCCCAGCUGUAAACGAUGCAGACUCGGUGAUGGGCUGGCCUUGUGCCAACCCAGUGCCGCAGGGAAGCCGUUAAGUCUGCCGCCUGGGGAGUACGGUCGCAAGACUGAAACUUAA
rnacentral:rRNA from 1 species